CAAAAACGAAAGGAAGGGUAAUUUGCCAAAUUGAGAGGCAUAUACAUUCAUUACCAACAAUUCAGCUGGAGCCCUCAAUGAAUUGACAUGUACCUGAUUUUACUACAAAUCAUGCAGUAAAACGUGUGGAUUCACUAAGAGGUGCGAACGGCAGCUUCGAGUCAAGUUUCGUCACGCAACAGUCUAUGAAAAGGACGUUCAAUCCUUUCUCUGGAUGUAUCAGUAAAAGGACUAAAGCUGGAAAAGCCUGGAUAUAUUGAUAAAUGUUUGGGAAUAACAAGACGGUCAACAAAUCAAGCUCGAUCGACUACACGAUGCCAGUUGAUCGGGGAAGCCCAACUAGCAAGACAAAAUUGCCGUUCUCCACGACAGCGCUAGACCACACAUAGCAAAGCCCGUUUCUGAGAGCGCCUGUAUGGAAGAUACUUUAGCAUUUAUUAAUUUUUCGAUGUGUUUGGCGCCAUCAGGUUUACUAAAGGAGGUCGUUUUCAGACAACCUCUAAUUUACUAUAUGCAUUCAUCGUCAACUCAGUGGACCUCUCCAACUGUGUGUAUACAUAAGUUACAGAUAUAUCCUUCAGGUAACGAUAGCGUGACAAGGUCAAAGACAAAAACAGCGGUGGUCCAGAAAAAAGUUGCAGCUUUUUCUUAAAGCUUCUGCCAAAUUUUUUUCAAAGGUGAUUGACAUUUCGCGAAAUAAUUAAAAAAAAAGCGCACUGAAGUAUCCGUAUCCAUUACAGUAAUUUCACUUGAAAAAUACGUUUAAUUUCAUCCAUUUUUGUAGUAACACCAGAAAAAUUAGCGCACUAGGUCACACAUCACGAACGCACAGAGCGGCGUGCACUUGCAUAUCGGUAAACACUGAGA